rnacentral:rRNA from 1 species
UGGCGGCAGGCUUAACACAUGCAAGUCGAGCGGGCCCUUCGGGGUCAGCGGCGGACGGGUGAGUAACGCGUGGGAACGUGCCUUCUGGUCUGGAAUAACCCUGGGAAACUAGGGCUAAUACCGGAUACGCCCUUUUGGGGAAAGGUUUACUGCCGGAAGAUCGGCCCGCGUCUGAUUAGCUAGUUGGUGGGGUAACGGCCUACCAAGGCGACGAUCAGUAGCUGGUCUGAGAGGAUGAUCAGCCACACUGGGACUGAGACACGGCCCAGACUCCUACGGGAGGCAGCAGUGGGGAAUAUUGGACAAUGGGCGCAAGCCUGAUCCAGCCAUGCCGCGUGAGUGAUGAAGGCCUUAGGGUUGUAAAGCUCUUUUAUCCGGGACGAUAAUGACGGUACCGGAGGAAUAAGCCCCGGCUAACUUCGUGCCAGCAGCCGCGGUAAUACGAAGGGGGCUAGCGUUGCUCGGAAUCACUGGGCGUAAAGGGCGCGUAGGCGGCGUUUUAAGUCGGGGGUGAAAGCCUGUGGCUCAACCACAGAAUGGCCUUCGAUACUGGGACGCUUGAGUAUGGUAGAGGUUGGUGGAACUGCGAGUGUAGAGGUGAAAUUCGUAGAUAUUCGCAAGAACAC